rnacentral:lncRNA from 1 species
ACUAAGUUUGUUUGAUGAUUUGUUGUUUCAUUUUUUCCUGCUUUAUUUUGUGUUGAAGAAAUCAAAACUUUGUUCUACAUGAGAGAAAGAAGAAGAAGAUCCAUCAGAGAAGGAGAAGAAGUACUUGGAUAUUUGAUUUUCUAAUACGGUAUACACAUCUCUCUCUUUCUUCUCACUUCUCAUUCUUCAUUCUUUCUUUUGCGCUGUCUCUCACACUAAAACGCUCAAACAGUGACGAGAAAGAAAACAACAACGGUCGAAGCAGGGAGAAAGAAGAAGAUCUCCGCAGAAGAAGAAUACAAGG